rnacentral:rRNA from 1 species
UACGUAGGUCGCAAGCGUUGUCCGGAUUUACUGGGCGUAAAGAGCGCGCAGGCGGCUGGUCAAGUCCGAUGUGAAAUCUCCCGGCUCAACUGGGAGGGUGCGCCGAAAACUGGAGAGCUAGAGUACUGGAUGGGAGAGUGGAAUUCCUGGUGUAGCGGUGAAAUGCGUAGAUAUCAGGAGGAACACCUGUGGUGUAGACGGCUCUCUGGACAGUAACUGACGCUGAGACACGAAAGCGUGGGUAGCAAACAGG